CUACGGGGGGCUGCAGUGAGGAAUUUUGCGCAAUGGGGGAAACCCUGACGCAGCAACGCCGCGUGAGUGAUGAAGAUUUUCGGAUCGUAAAGCUCUGUCAAGUGGGAAAAAAUACUUACAGUUAAUACCUGUAAGGACUGAUGGUACCACUGAAGGAAGCACCGGCUAACUCCGUGCGCAGCAGCCGCGGUAUACGGAGGGUGCAAGCGUUGUUCGGAAUUAUUGGGCGUAAAGGGCGUGUAGGCCGCUUGGAAAGUCAGAUGUGAAAGCCCUGGGCUCAACCCAGGAAGUGCAUUUGAAACUGCCAAGCUAGAGUAUGGGAGAGGAGAGUGGAAUUCCCAGUGUAGAGGUGAAAUUCGUAGAUAUUGGGAGGAACAUCAGUGGCGAAGGCGACUCUCUGGACCAAUACUGACGCUGAGACGCGAAAGCGUGGGGAGCAAACAGGAUUAGAUACCCGGGUAGUC
rnacentral:rRNA from 1 species